rnacentral:rRNA from 1 species
AACGAACGCUUGCGGCAGGCCUAACACAUGCAAGUUGAACGAUAGGCUGGCUUUUGUCAGCUGAAAGUAGCGAACGGGUGCGUAACACGUGGGAACAUACCUCUAGGAGGGGGACAGCUACGGGAAACUGUAGUUAAUACCGCAUGACCUCUACGGAGCAAAGAUUUUUUCGCCUAGAGAUUGGCCCGCGCUCGAUUAGAUAGUUGGUGGGGUAAUAGCCUACCAAGUCUGCGAUCGAUAGCUGGUUUGAGAGAAUGAUCGGCCACACUGGGACUGAGAUACGGCCCAGACUCCUACGGGGAGCAGCAGUGAGGAAUAUUGCACAAUGGGCGCAAGCCUGAUGCAGCCAUGCCGCGUGUGUGAAGAAGGCCUUCGGGUUGUAAAGCACUUUCAGUCAGGAGGAAGGUUAGUAGUUAAUACCUGCUAGCUGUGACGUUACUGACAGAAGAAGCACCGGCUAACUCCGUGCCAGCCGCC